UGAAUACGUCCCCGCUCCUUGCACACACCGCCCGUCGCUCCAUCCGAGUGGAGUCUGGAUGAGGCGUGGUCCUUUGGGCUGCGUCGAAUCCAGGCUUCGCAAGGAGGGAGAAGUCGUAACAAGGUGGCCGUAGGGGAACCUGCGGCCGGAUCACCUCCUAAGAAA
rnacentral:rRNA from 1 species